CGGUUGUGGAGACGGCACACGUGGCCUGCAGUCUCAGCUGGAGGAGCUGAAUGAAAGCUGGGAGUUCGUUCGCUGCGAGACUGAGCGACGGCAGCUGGAAUUAGAGAACAGAUUAAGUCAGGUGCAGGAUGUUACCAUGGAGAUUCAGGAUCUUAUACAGUGGCUGGAAAACACAGACCUCAGACUGUCCUCUUCCAAAACCAUGUGGGGCAUGCCUGAUUCUGCAAGUGAACGCCUCAACACACACUUGGAGUUGUGCAAUGAGAUGGAGUCUAAGCUUCAUGCCUACACGCAUGUGAAUAAUGCUGUUCACAGGAUGCUGGA